CUCUCUCUCUCUCUCUCUCUCUCAAGCUCCCGACGGAACCGGAGUUCCGCGAAACCAGCGCGGCCUCUUCCCGUCUCCCUCCUCCUCCUUCUCCCUAGGGUUAGGGUUAGGGUUUCGAAACACUCGGUGAGCGCUAGGGUUCCGCCGCGGCCCCCCACCUUCCGAGCGGCGGCGAUGUCGAUGCUGCGGCGGAGGAAGCCCUCCGACUCCGCCGAGAAGCAGGCACCCCCGCCUCCGCCGGCGGCGCCGCAGUCUCCGGCGAGGGCGGAGGUCGCCGAGCCCUCGAAGGAGAAGGAGAGGGCGAGGGCGAAGGCGACGAAGGGGCAGAGGUGGUCGUGCGUGGAUAGCUGCUGUUGGUUGAUCGGGUGCAUCUGCUCCGUGUGGUGGCUUCUCCUCUUCCUCUACAACGCCAUGCCCGCGUCGUUCCCGCAGUACGUGACCGAGGCGAUCACCGGGCCGUUACCGGACCCCCCCGGGGUGAAGCUCCAAAAGGAGGGGCUCAAGGCGAAGCACCCGGUGGUGUUCGUCCCCGGCAUCGUCACCGGGGGGCUCGAGCUCUGGGAGGGCCACCAGUGCGCCGAUGGCCUAUUCCGAAAGCGCCUUUGGGGCGGAACCUUCGGAGAGGUAUACAAGAGACCUCUAUGCUGGGUUGAACAUAUGUCUUUGGACAAUGAAACUGGGCUGGAUCCUCCAGGUAUAAGAGUUAGGCCUGUUACAGGGCUUGUUGCGGCAGAUUAUUUUGCUCCAGGAUACUUUGUCUGGGCAGUGCUGAUUGCUAAUUUGGCUCGCAUUGGAUAUGAAGAGAAGACAAUGUAUAUGGCUGCAUAUGACUGGAGAUUAUCUUUUCAAAACACUGAGGUCCGUGAUCAGACCCUAAGCAGAAUAAAGAGUAACAUAGAACUCAUGGUAUCAACAAAUGGUGGCAAUAAAGUGGUGGUUAUCCCGCAUUCCAUGGGAGUUUUGUACUUUUUGCAUUUUAUGAAAUGGGUUGAAGCACCUGCUCCUACGGGUGGCGGCGGCGGUCCAAACUGGUGUUCAAAACAUAUCAAAGCUGUAAUGAAUAUUGGUGGCCCCUUCUUAGGUGUUCCAAAGGCUGUUGCUGGUCUUUUCUCGGCUGAAGCCAAAGAUGUUGCUGUUGCUAGGGCUAUUGCACCUGGGGUGUUAGAUUCAGACUUUCUUGGUCUUCAGACAUUGCGACAUGUCAUGCGUAUGACUCGUACAUGGGACUCUACUAUGUCAAUGAUUCCUAAAGGCGGUGAUACUAUAUGGGGUGGACUAGAUUGGUCUCCAGAAGAGGGCUAUGUCUGUAGCUCCAAGAAGCAAAAGAAUAAUGACUCUCGUGUUUCUAAGGAUGUUGACACUGAUAAGGCAGAUUUUCACUCGCAAAAAGUUAACUAUGGAAGAAUUAUUUCUUUCGGGAAGGAUGUAGCAGAGGCACCUGCCUCUACGAUAGAGCGCAUUGAUUUUCGGGAUGCUGUCAAAGGUAACAAUCUUGCUCAUUCAAAUGCAUCAUGCCGAGAUGUCUGGACAGAGCACCAUGAAUUGGGAUGGGGCGGAAUUAAAGCGGUAGCUGAUUACAAAGUGUAUACAACUGAUUCCAUUCUGGAUCUUCUUCAUUUUGUUGCCCCGAAGAUGAUGCAGCGUGGAAGUGCUCACUUCUCAUAUGGUAUUGCUGAUAAUCUGGAUGACCCAAAGUAUAACCACUACAAAUAUUGGUCAAAUCCCCUAGAAACAAAGUUACCAAAUGCCCCUGAUAUGGAGAUAUUCUCAAUGUAUGGAGUUGGCAUCCUUACUGAGAGAUCAUAUGUCUAUAAGUUAUCCCCAUCUACCGAGUGCUCCAUUCCCUUUCAGAUUGAUACCUCAGCGGAGGGUGGACACGACGGCAGCUGUUUACAAGGCGGUGUUUACUUGGUCAAUGGGGAUGAGACUGUGCCUGUUCUAAGUUCAGGCUUCAUGUGUGCAAAAGCGUGGCGGGGAAGAACCCGCUUCAAUCCUUCUGGCAUCAAAACAUAUAUUAGGGAGUAUGAUCAUGCACCCCCUGCUAAUCUCUUGGAGGGCCGGGGGACACAGAGUGGCGCCCAUGUCGACAUAAUGGGCAACUUUGCUUUGAUUGAGGAUAUCAUUCGAGUGGCAGCAGGAGCCACCGGAGAGGACCUAGGUGGUGAUCAAGUUUAUUCGGAUAUAUUUAAAUGGUCUGAGAGGAUCAACUUAAAGUUGUGAAGCAAUUUGAUUAUACUAGUACAUGAAUUUGAGGUCGCAGGUUUCGAAAAUUUUGAAUUAGAGGUCUGCCUAUAAAAGCAUGGAAGUUCAAGAGAGACUGAAAGUAUGUGGGUCUUUAACAAUGAAGAAGUGAAGCGCUGCAGAACACAAGUCUCUCCUUGUUUUUUCCCCCCCUUGCAUUUAUACUUUAUCCGUCUCGAACGGAAGUUGAAUUUCAAUUUUGAAAAAUGAACACUGAAAGACUGACUCGACGUUGAGCCGUGUUUGCUAAAUUUUACUCUGGUGAAUGACUUUGGCGAAUUUUUAGGGGGGAGCUCGUGCAGGCGGGACACAUUUAUCUCAUACGACCGACCUUCUAAUUUGUAUUCGUUUGCAUCUUUGCUUUAUUUGUUUUAUUUUUAUUUUUAUUUUUAUUUUUAUUUUUAUUUUUCAAUUGAUAUAUGACAAGAGAAAUUGUAUAUUUGCCGUUGUAAAGGAUAGAUGGUGAGCAACAUUGGAACGUAGCAGGGCAUGAGAUGAUGAAAGAUGUUGUUUCUCAGAUAUAAAUUUUGUUCUUAUUUUUGAGUUGCAUUUAUGCAACUGUAUUAUAGCACUACAUUGUACUAAUUAGAAUUUUUCCAUAUGUAUCCUCUAGUAGUUUAUUUUGUACUA